AGUCGGAAAAUACUACAACACCUGUCCGCUCUGAGAAGUUGGAACCCCGCCAGCUGCAGCGCAGAGUCCGGUGUGUUUCCACACAGCCAGGCCUCCGUGAAGCAGAGGGCAGAUGAGGAUGACAGGUCUCCGUUUUUUCCCAACCGUAGUUGAAGUUCGUCCAUUUUAUUGUUCAGAGAGCGCACGUUGGAGAGAAAACGUUGGAGUACGAUGUCCGCGUCGGCGAAGGCGCACAAGCGCCCGGCUCGUUUUCCUCUCCUGCGGCGUUUCCGCAUAGUGUUGGCAAAGGACCAGCUGAUGAUGUUUUAAAGAGUUUUAUUCUGAAACUUAACUGGAACGUUCUUAAUUGCAACAUUCCCAAAGCAUCCUCAGAACAUCUCAGGUGAGGUGGAUUCAGGCGUUGGAGGAGCGACCGGAGGCGUCGGAGGUUUGGGAGCCGGAGUUGAAGCUUUGGAUGCAAACUCUGGAGGAGGAGGAGGAG